GCCUCUCUGGACUCUUCGACACUGGCCUCCACCACGCGGGCUCAGCAGGGCCCGACGCCUCCGUCAUGAACCUCAUCUCCGCCCUGGAGUCCCGGGGCCCCCAACCUGGCCCUUCAGCCUCCUCUCUCUUGUCCCAGUUCCGCAGUCCUUCCUGGCAAACAGCUCGAGGCCCACCUCCGCGGCCACAGCCUGGAGCCUGCGGCACCCAGCCCCCGCCUGCGACCUGAGGACGGCUUGGAGCCUCCUGGUGCCAUGCAGGAAUUGCUUGGGGCCCUGGAGCCGCUGCCCCCAGGGCCUGGUGAUAGUGUGGGCCCCCCUAACUCAGAGGGCAAAGAUCCUGCCGGAUCCUACCGAAGCCCCAGCCCACAGGGCACCAAGGCUCCGCGCUUCGUGCCACUCACCUCCAUCUGCUUCCCUGACUCCUUGCUCCAGGACGAGGAGCGAAGCUUCUUCCCUACCAUGGAAGAGAUGUUUGGUGGAGGGGCAGCAGAUGAUUAUGGCAAGACUGGGCCACCCGAGGACGAGGAGGAUCCCAAGGCAGUUGGGCCACCUCCGGGGCCCCCUGCCUACGACCCCUAUGGGCCCUACUGCCCUGGUCGGGCGUCUGGAGCUGGGCCUGAGACACCAGGCCUGGGCCUGGAUCCCAACAAGCCGCCCGAGCUGCCCUCCACCGUCAACGCUGAGCCGCUGGGCCUGAUCCAGAGCGGGCCACAUCAGGCGGCUCCACCUCCACCACCACCUCCACCACCACCUCCCCCAUCCGCCUCGGAGCCCAAGGGUGGCCUCACCUCACCCAUCUUCUGCUCAACCAAGCCAAAGAAGCUGCUCAAGACGUCCUCCUUUCACCUGCUGCGGCGCCGAGACCCACCCUUCCAGACUCCCAAGAAGCUGUAUGCCCAGGAGUAUGAGUUCGAGGCCGACGAAGACAAGGCCGACGUCCCUGCUGACAUCCGCCUCAACCCCCGGCGCCUGCCUGACCUGGUGUCCAGCUGCCGCUCCCGGCCGGCCCUUUCGCCCCUGGGUGACAUUGACUUCUGUCCGCCCAAUCCAGGCCCCGAUGGCCCCCGGCGCCGAGGCCGCAAGCCCACCAAGGCCAAGCGUGAGGGUCCUCCCCGCCCACGGGGCAGGCCCCGAAUCCGCCCCCUGGAGGUGCCCACCGCCACAGGGCCUGCCUUGACUGCCACUGCUGAUGGGCCCAAGAAACCUCGGGGCCGGGGCAGGGGCAGGGGCAGGAAGGCAGAGGAGGCAGGAGGCACCCGGUUGGAGCCCCUGAAGCCACUGAAGAUCAAGCUGUCUGUGCCCAAGCCAGGUGAGGGUCUGGGAGCCUCGUCAGGUGAUGCCAUAUCAGGCCCCGACCACAACAGCCUAGACUCCAGCCUGACUCGGGAGAAGAUUGAGGCCAAGAUCAAGGAGGUAGAAGAGAAGCAGCCGGAGAUGAAGUCAGGCUUCAUGGCUUCCUUCCUGGACUUCCUCAAGUCAGGCAAGCGCCACCCACCACUCUAUCAGGCGGGCUUGACGCCGCCGCUCAGUCCGCCCAAGAGCGUGCCAUCCUCUGUGCCAGCCCGAGGCUUGCAGCCCCAGGCACCCGCUGCUCCUGCAGUGCCGCAUCCUCCACCUGAGGGCGCCUUUGGGCUGGGGGGUGCCCUGGAGGCCGCUGAGAGUGAGGGGCUGGGGCUGGGCUGCCCUUCGCCCUGCAAGCGGCUGGACGAGGAGCUGAAGCGGAACCUUGAGACUCUGCCCUCUUUCUCCUCGGAUGAGGAAGACUCUGUGGCCAAGAACCGGGACCUGCAGGAGAGCAUCUCGUCUGCCAUCUCUGCCCUGGAUGACCCACCUCUCACUGGGCCUAAGGAUACUUCCACCCCGGAGGGGCCACCUUUGGCCACAGCAGCGACAGUCACGGGGCCACCCCCUCUCCCAGGGCUCCCCAGUGCCAACAGCAAUGGCACGCCCGAGCCCCCGCUGCUGGAGGAGAAACCCCCACCCUCCCCACCUCCUGCCCCGACGCCGACGCCUCCACCUCCCCCUCUGCCAGCGCCAGUGCCAGCGCCAGUCCUGCCCGAUCCGCCCCCACUGGUUGCCCCUGUGCCUAGC
rnacentral:lncRNA from 1 species